GAGGAUAUAGCUCAGUGGUAGAGUGUGUGCUUAGCACACAUGACAUCCUGGGUUCAAUUCCAGGUACCUCCA
rnacentral:tRNA from 1 species